CAAGAGAACUAAUGCGCUGAUUGGUGGAUUACAAAAUUGGUGAUUUUCGCAUCGUCUCGUCAGUUGCUGACACCAGUUCAAAUGUGAAGACGGGACGGGAGUUUUUCUUUGAGUAACAUUCUCGUGAGAUAGCUACAUAUUCGAUUAUCUUUUUUUCUGUGCAAGAAAGAACAUGGCAGCUAUGCACAGACCAUGUGGGUUAUUUUUCCCGGGCAAAGUUCAACAGAAUUGCUGGCAAAAACCUAAAGCAGGAUUUCUACGAGAACCUUGAUAGAUAUAGUCCACGGUUCAUGGACCUUUUUUAAGCCAAAGGGGGGACUCCAGCCCAACCAACGGAGGUCCUAACCCUUGUGAUUCAAGGACUACCUAUCAUGCUUGGAGAUGAUGGUGACUUCAUUUCUUCAAGUCAUGUUUAGUGUCUGAUCAUCGCAACUCCAUCCUUAAUGUGCCAGUGGC